GGCCCUGUGGUGAAGUUCAUGGUGAGUUGCAAGCUCAUUGAUGUGCAUUAAUUAUGCGCCGGGGUCU
rnacentral:tRNA from 1 species